rnacentral:ncRNA from 1 species
CCCCGUAUGGGGGGAUUCGGUGAUCCUAUGCUGCCUAGAAAAGCAUCGACGYGAGGUUYWAGCCGCCCGUACCCCAAACCGACWCAGGUGAUCAGGUAGAGAAUACCAAGGMGAUCGAGAUAAYYRUGGUUAAGGAACUCGGCAAAAUGCCCCCGUAACUUCGGGAGAAGGGGGGCCUUCGACGUAUCAGGACUUGCUCCGAAAGCGUUUGGAGGCCGCAGAGACCAGUGGGAAGCGACUGUUUACUAAAAACACAGGUCCGUGCGAAGUCGCAAGACGAUGUAUACGGACUGACGCCUGCCCGGUGCUGGAAGGUUAAGAGGACCGGUUAGCCGCAAGGCGAAGCUGAGAAUUUAAGCCCCAGUAAACGGCGGUGGUAACUAUAACCAUCCUAAGGUAGCGAAAUUCCUUGUCGGGUAAGUUCCGACC